rnacentral:rRNA from 1 species
GGGGUAGUCUUAAUUGACGAAAUCGGUGAUCCUAUGCUGCCAAGAAAAGCAUCGACGCGAGGUUCCAGCCGCCCGUACCCCAAACCGACUCAGGUGGUCAGGUAGAGAAUACCAAGGAGAUCGAGAGAAUCGUGGUUAAGGAACUCGGCAAAAUGCCCCCGUAACUUCGGGAGAAGGGGGGCCUGAGGCGUGUAGGAAUUUACUUCCGAAGCGUUUGAAGGCCGCAGAGACCAGUGGGAAGCGACUGUUUACUAAAAACACAGGUCCGUGCUAAGUCGCAAGACGAUGUAUACGGACUGACGCCUGCCCGGUGCUGGAAGGUUAAGAGGAAGGGUUAGCUUCGGCGAAGCUCAGAAUUUAAGCCCCAGUAAACGGCGGUGGUAACUAUAACCAUCCUAAGGUAGCGAAAUUCCUUGUCGGGUAAGUUCCGACCUGCACGAAUGGCGUAACGACUUCCCAGCUGUCUCAACCGCGAACUCGGCGAAAUUGCACUACGAGUAAAGAUGCUCGUUACGCGCAGCAGGACGGAAAGACCCCGUGACCUUUACUACAGCUUGGUAUUGGUGUUCGGUGUGGCUUGUGUAGGAUAGGUGGGAGACUUUGAAGCGGACACGCCAGUGUUCGUGGAGUCAAUGUUGAAAUACCACUCUGGUCACUCUGGAUAUCUAACUUAGAACCGUAAUCCGGUUCAGGGACAGUGCCUGGUGGGUAGUUUAACUGGGGCGGUUGCCUCCCAAAAAGUAACGGAGGCGCCCAAAGGUUCCCUCAACCUGGUUGGCAAUCAGGUGUCGAGUGUAAGUGCACAAGGGAGCUUGACUGUGAGACUGACAAGUCGAGCAGGGACGAAAGUCGGGACUAGUGAUCCGGCAGUGGCUUGUGGAAGCGCUGUCGCUCAACGGAUAAAAGGUACCUCGGGGAUAACAGGCUGAUCUUGCCCAAGAGUCCAUAUCGACGGCAUGAUUUGGCACCUCGAUGUCGGCUCGUCGCAUCCUGGGGCUGGAGUAGGUCCCAAGGGUUGGGCUGUUCGCCCAUUAAAGCGGUACGCGAGCUGGGUUUAGAACGUCGUGAGACAGUUCGGUCCCUAUCCGCUGCGCGCGUAGGAAAUUUGAAAGGAUCUGACCCUAGUACGAGAGGACCGGGUUGGACGAACCUCUGGUGUGUCAGUUGUUCCGCCAGGAGCACCGCUGAUUAGCUACGUUCGGGAUGGAUAACCGCUGAAAGCAUCUAAGCGGGAAGCCGGCCUUAAGAUGAGAUUUCCAUGCCUUCGGGCGAGAGGCUCCCAGCUAGACUACUGGGUUGAUAGGCCGGAUGUGGAAGUGGGGACUAAAGACCCAUGGAGCUGACCGGUACUAAUAAGCCGAUAAU